rnacentral:rRNA from 1 species
UGGGGAAUAUUGGGCAAUGGGCGCAAGCCUGACCCAGCAACGCCGCGUGAGGGAAGAAGGCUUUCGGGUUGUAAACUUCUUUUCUCAGGGACGAAGCAAGUGACGGUACCUGAGGAAUAAGCCACGGCUAACUACGUGCCAGCAGCCGCGGUAAUACGUAGGUGGCGAGCGUUAUCCGGAUUUACUGGGCGUAAAGGGCGUGUAGGCGGGGAAGCAAGUCAGAUGUGAAAACCACGGGCUCAACCUGUGGCCUGCAUUUGAAACUGUUUUUCUUGAGUACUGGAGAGGCAGACGGAAUUCCUAGUGUAGCGGUGAAAUGCGUAGAUAUUAGGAGGAACACCAGUGGCGAAGGCGGUCUGCUGGACAGCAACUGACGCUGAGGCGCGAAAGCGUGGGGAGCAAACAGGAUUAGAUACCC